rnacentral:rRNA from 1 species
CACGUAGUUAGCCGGGGCUUCUUAGUCAGGUACUGUCAUUUUCUUCCCUGCUGAUAGAGCUUUACAUACCGAAAUACUUCUUCACUCACGCGGCGUUGCUGCAUCAGGGUUUCCCCCAUUGUGCAAUAUUUCCCACUGCUGCCUCCCGUAGGAGUUUGGGCCGUGUCUCAGUCCCAAUGUGGCCGAUCACUCUCUCAGGUCGGCUACUGAUCGUCGCCUUGGUGGGCCGUUACCUCACCAACCAGCUAAUCAGACGCGGGUCCAUCUUACACCGAUAAAAUCUUUUCCGUCCGGGCCAUGCGGCCCUAGCGGGUUAUGCGGUAUUAGCAGUCAUUUCUAACUGUUAUCCCCCUGUGUAAGGCAGGUUACCCACGCGUUACUCACCCGUCCGCCGCUCAGUCAAACCACCUUCCUUCCGAAGAAAUCCGGUGGAGUGCUUCGCUCGACUUGCAUGUGUUAAGCACGCCGCCAGCGUUCAUCCUGAGCCAGGAUCAAACUCU